UACAGAGGUCUCAAGCGUUGUUCGGAAUCACUGGGCGUAAAGCGCACGUAGGCGGAUCUUUAAGUCAGGGGUGAAAUCCCGAGGCCUCAACCUCGGAACUGCCUUUGAUACUGGGGAUCUCGAGUCCGGAAGAGGAGAGUGGAAUUCCUGGUGUAGCGGUGAAAUGCGCAGAUAUCAGGAAGAACACCCGUGGCGAAGGCGGCUCUCUGGGACGGUACUGACGCUGAGACGCGAAAGCGUGGGGAGCAAACAGG
rnacentral:rRNA from 1 species